rnacentral:rRNA from 1 species
UACGUAGGGGGCAAGCGUUGUCCGGAAUCAUUGGGCGUAAAGAGCGUGUAGGCGGCCAGAUAAGUCCGCUGUGAAAUCUCGAGGCUCAACUUCGAGCUGUCGGUGGAAACUGUCUGGCUAGAGUCCGGAAGAGGAGAAUGGAAUUCCUGGUGUAGCGGUGAAAUGCGCAGAUAUCAGGAAGAACACCCGUGGCGAAGGCGGCUCUCUGGGACGUGACUGACGCUGAGACGCGAAAGCGUGGGGAGCAAACAGG